rnacentral:rRNA from 1 species
AUGUCUCCCCCUCCUCCUCGGCUAGGCCUCGCCGCCGUCGCGACGUGGCUGCUCCUCGUGGCGCUGUGCCUCCCGCCGCGCGCCCACGCCGUCAACGAGCAGGGCGAGGCGCUGCUGCGAUGGAAGCGCUCGCUCACGAACGGCACGGGCGGGGCCGCGCUGGAGACGUGGAGGGAGUCGGACGCGAGCCCGUGCCGGUGGUCCGGCGUGGCCUGCGACGCGCGCGGCAGCGUCGUGUCGCUGCUCGUCAAGUCGGUCGACCUCGGCGGGCCGGUGCCGGCGCGCGUGCUGCGCCCGCUGGCGCCGUCGCUCGAGACGCUGGUGCUCUCCGGGGCCAACCUCACGGGCGAAAUACCCGGGGAGCUCGGGGCGUACGCCGCGCUGACCACCGUCGACCUCAGCGGGAACGGCCUCUCCGGCGCGGUGCCGGCCGAGCUCUGCCGGCUCGGCAAGCUCCGGUCGCUGGCGCUCCACACCAACUCGCUGCAGGGCGCCAUCCCCGACGGCAUUGGCAACCUCACUGCACUGACGUCCCUCACGCUCUACGACAAUGAUCUUAGUGGUGCCAUCCCGGCGAGCAUCGGGAAGUUGAAGAAGCUGCAGGUGCUGCGCGCCGGUGGCAACCCGGCGUUGAAGGGCCCGUUGCCGGCGGAGAUCGGCGGGUGCACUGACCUCACCAUGCUCGGCCUCGCCGAGACCGGCAUGUCUGGAAACCUCCCGGACACCAUCGGGCAGCUCAAGAAGCUCCAGACCCUCGCCAUCUACACCGCCAUGCUCACCGGCCCGAUCCCGGCGAGCAUCGGCAACUGCACCGAGCUCACUAGCCUCUAUCUCUACCAGAAUUCUCUCUCCGGUCCGGUGCCGCCGCAGCUCGGCCAGCUGCGCAAGCUGCAGACGGUGCUCCUGUGGCAGAACCAGCUCGUCGGCACCAUACCCCCGGUGAUCGGCAACUGCAAGGAGCUCGUGCUCAUUGACCUCUCCCUCAACAUGCUCACGGGCCCCAUCCCGAGGAGCUUCGGUGGGCUGUCCAAGCUGCAGCAGCUGCAGCUCAGCACCAACAAGCUCACCGGCGUCAUCCCGCCGGAGCUCUCCAACUGCACGUCGCUCACCGACGUCGAGGUGGACAACAACGAGCUCUCGGGAGAGAUCGACAUCGACUUCCCGAGGCUGCGCAACCUGACGCUGUUCUACGCGUGGCAGAACCGGCUCACCGGCGGCGUACCGGCGAGCCUGGCUCAGUGCGAGGGCUUGCAGUCGCUGGACCUCUCCUACAAUAACCUCACCGGCCCCGUCCCGAGGGAGCUCUUCGCGCUCCAGAAUUUGACCAAGCUGCUGCUCCUCAGCAACGAGCUCUCCGGGUUCAUACCGCCGGAGAUCGGCAACUGCACCAAUCUCUACCGACUCCGGCUCAAUGGCAACUGGCUGUCGGGAGCCAUACCCGCGGAGAUCGGCAACCUAAAGAACCUCAAUUUCCUCGACCUAGGAAGCAACCGCCUCGUCGGCCCACUGCCGGCGGCCAUGUCGGGGUGCGACAACCUCGAGUUCAUCGACCUGCACUCCAAUUCCCUCUCCGGCCCACUGCCGGACGAGCUGCCGCGCAGUCUCCAGUUCGUCGACAUCUCCGACAACCGGCUCACCGGGCUGUUGGGACCCGGCAUCGGCAGGCUGCCUGAGCUGACGAAGCUUAGCCUCGGGAAGAACCGGAUCUCCGGCGGCAUCCCGCCGGAGCUCGGAUCUUGCGAGAAGCUGCAGUUGUUGGACCUCGGCGACAACGCUCUCUCCGGCGGAAUCCCGCCGGAGCUCAGCAUGCUGCCUUUCUUGGAGAUUUCGCUUAACCUCAGCUGCAACCGCCUCUCCGGGGAGAUACCGUCGCAAUUCGGCACCCUCGAUAAGCUCGGCUGCCUUGACCUGUCUUACAACCAGCUCUCCGGCAGUCUUGCGCCUCUAGCAAGGCUGGAGAACCUCGUCACGCUAAAUAUCUCGUACAACAGCUUCUCCGGCGAGCUCCCGGACACGCCCUUCUUUCAGAAGAUCCCGCUCAGCAACAUCGCCGGCAAUCACCUGCUUGUCGUCGGCGCUGGCGCCGACGAGAACUCCCGUCGCGCGGCCAUCUCGGCUUUGAAGCUCGCCAUGACGAUUCUCGUCGCGGUGAGUGCGUUCCUCCUCGUGACCGCCACGUACGUGCUCGCACGCUCGCGCCGCCGGAACGGCGGUGCCAUGCACGGCAACGCCGCGGAGGCGUGGGAGGUGACCCUGUACCAGAAGCUCGAGUUCUCGGUGGACGACGUGGUGCGCGGCCUUUCGUCGGCGAACGUGAUCGGCACGGGAAGCUCGGGCGUGGUGUACCGGGUGGAGCUGCCCAACGGCGAGCCGCUCGCCGUGAAGAAGAUGUGGUCCUCCGACGAGGCCGGCGCGUUCCGCAACGAGAUCUCGGCGCUGGGGUCCAUCCGGCACCGCAACAUCGUGAGGCUGCUCGGGUGGGGCGCGAACCGGAGCACCAAGCUGCUGUUCUACACGUACCUCCCGAACGGCAGCCUGAGCGGCUUCCUCCACCGCGGCAGCGUCAAGGGCGCCGCCGACUGGGGCGCCCGGUACGAGGUGGCGCUCGGCGUCGCGCACGCCGUGGCUUACCUCCACCACGACUGCCUGCCGGCCAUCCUGCACGGCGACAUCAAGGCCAUGAACGUCCUGCUCGGCCCGGGCAACGAGCCGUACCUCGCCGACUUCGGCCUGGCCCGCGUCCUCUCCGGCGUGGUCGAGCCCGGCAGCUCCGCCAAGCUCGACACGUCCAGGCCACGCAUCGCCGGAUCAUACGGAUACAUCGCGCCAGAGUACGCGUCCAUGCAGAGGAUCACGGAGAAGAGCGACGUGUACAGCUUCGGAGUUGUGGUGCUGGAGAUCCUGACGGGGCGGCACCCGCUGGACCCGACGCUGCCCGGCGGGACGCACCUGGUGCAGUGGGUGCGGGAGCACAUGCAGGCGAAGCGGGGGGUGGCGGAGCUGCUGGACCCGCGGCUGCGCGGGAAGCAGGAGGCGCAGGUGCAGGAGAUGCUGCAGGUCUUCGCGGUGGCCAUGCUCUGCAUCAGCCACCGCGCCGACGACCGGCCGGCGAUGAAGGACGUCGUCGCGCUGCUCAAGGAGGUCAGGCGGCCGCCCGAGAGCGCCGCCGACGAGGGGAAGGAGCAGCCGCGCGGUGGCCCGCCGCCUUGUCCGGAGCGGUCGCCGGCUCGGAGCGCGCUGCCGAUGGGCGGCUCUUCAAACUGCUCGUUUGCCAUGUCUGAUUACUCGAGCUGA